CUCUAAGGAAUCAAAUCAAAAAAAAAAACAUUUUUUUUUUUUAUUAUUGAACGCCGUUUAACUUUAAGAAAAAAAUACCAGAAAUCGUCGUUUUUAUUUUUACAAUAUUUGAAUUUGAAUUCGAAUUCACUUUCUUUACACGCCUCUGUGUGCUAGUCGGCUAAAUGAAGGUAUGCUAAAAUAACAACCCACACCGGCAAAGGUAUAUUCAGACGAUGUAUCACUAACAGCAAUAUCAUCCGAUCGCAUACCCACCUUCACAUAUUGUAUUCCUCCACUCACAUCAUCAAACCCAAAAUAGUGGGAGGCCAUGCUGGUGUUAGUACUCCUCUAACAAAAUAGGGGUAUUAUUAUCCCCGAGGUGUGUUCGUAGGUCAAAAAUUGGGGAGACCUGUAACACAGAUUCACCUGAGACCAGAACACUACAAACAUCACAUUACAUAAUAACGAAAUAAUAACAUUAAUAAUAAUAAAACAUUUAAUCCAUAACAAACAAUAACAUGCAAAAAAUGGUUGUUUACGAAGUCUAAAUACGAACCUAAAACAAAACUAGUAUCGUAAGAAUUCAGGUCACACGCAACUUAACUAAUCUAACACGCAACCCAACUCGCCCUUGGAACACACCUAUUAUUUUGCAUCCGUGUAGAGAUUGGAGAACUGUCAGUCACCGAUACCAUUAUUACUUAUGAGCAAGCAGAACACGGCUGCGCAGUGUGCUUUCCUCUGAAAUUACAACCCUAAGGACCUGAGGAUGUUCAGGCGCCCGCAACAAACAUGGUCAAGGCUCGUACCAGAACAAGGCCUAGUCACUUCGUUUACGAAAGAUGUCUCCCCAAUUUUUGACCUACGAACACACCUCGGGGAUAAUAAUACCCCUAUAUCUUUAGAGGAGUACUAACACCAGCAUGGCCUCCCACUAUUUGGGUUUGAUGAUGUGAGUGGAGCAAUACACUAGGUGAAGGUGGGUAUGCGAUCGGAUGAUAUUCCAGUUAGAGAUACAUCGUCUGAAUAUACUUUUGCCGGUGUGGGUUCUUAUUUAAGCAUACCCUCAUUUAGCCGACUAUCACACAGAGGCGUGAAAAAGGUGUAAAGACAGUGAUUAUUCGAAUUCAAAUAUUAUAAACAAAAUAUAAGCAACAGUUGAACCAGUAAACGACGA